rnacentral:rRNA from 1 species
AAGUGGAUAGUGAAACCUGGUGGCUCAACCAUACAGACUAUUAUCCAAACUGCUGAGCUCGAGAAUGGUAGAGGUAGCUGGAAUUUCGUGUGUAGGAGUGAAAUCCGUAGAUAUACGAAGGAACACCAAUGGCGUAGGCAGGCUACUGGACCAUUUCUGACGCUAAGGCACGAAAGCGUGGGAGCGAACCGGAUUAGAUACCCGGGUAGUCCACGCCGUAAACGAUGGAUGCUA